CUUUUGUCAAAACUUGCAUCAUUUAAACUAUGAAUUUUUUUUACAGUCACUUUACAGGAUGUUUAGAAUGUUACCAAAGCAAUAUUGCUAUCUAAACAAAAAGUAGUUUUAUUCUGAUUUCAGAAUUUUCAGAAUAAUUUUGAGAAUUAAAAACAAAGAAAAUUCCCUAAUCAAGCAUUUUGAUUCUUUAAAAAAUAUAUAUUUUUGUUUUCUGUGGAGGAAAAAAACAACAACAACAGUAUUUGGGUUUGGAACUACACAAGGGUGAGUAUAAAAUGAACAAGUUUUCAUUUUUUGGCGGUGACCCAUUCCUUUAAACUGCACAUUUGCAAUCAGCUGUUUCUAUCCCAAACUUAAUCAUUAAAACAAUCAGUGGACGGUGUUUUCGGCUGAUUUCAGAUGAGCAUUUUGGGGUUACACUAUGCGCACUGACACAUGCUGUAGUUUGAAACCAGGUGUCCAGUGCCCCAUUGAAACCAUGUGAGGUGAUAAAGCCAUCACAGCUAACACACUCCACAGGCUCCAGACAGACUCGCUUAGUCCCAUCCGUCAACACUGUAAAGACCACGUUCAUCCUGUAGUCAGAAUAAUGUCAUCACUGUACAGAAUUGUCUUUGGUAGAUUUAUUCAACCUUUCAGGGCAGGUGUAAUGUUAGUUGGUGAAGUCUAUUUUAGCCUUAGCCUUAUUCCACCCCUGGCCUCUCCAGGAGCGGACGCGGAUGGAGAAGCUUCGGUCAAACCUCGUCUUGCCAAUAAAUUUAUUUUUGAAUUGAGCUGUCAAAUGGGAUAACAGUAUGUGUGAUGGAACGUAGCAAUAUUCAACUCAUACUGGCUACUCUUGUUUAUUGCAUUAAGGAAAUCAACCAAUAGAUGCAUAUGUGAGCAAAAUAUUAUAGAUGUAAUUUAAAUAAAACACAGAAAAUUAUGGAAAUACUUGGUAUCAGAGAAACUUGGAGUUACCACAGGGAAAAAGAAGAAAAAAAAUCAAUGUCUAUAAAUCAAUAAAGAAUAUUAAAACUAUGUAUCAAUGUAUCAUGCUUCUUUUUUCAUAGUUGUUUUUAUGAAAUGUUAUAAUUAUAGUUUAAGGUUAAAAAUUAG
ensembl:lncRNA